UACGAAGGGCGCAAGCGUUAUUCGGAAUUACUGGGCGUAAAGCGUGCGUAGGCGGUUUGUUAAGUCCGCUGUGAAAGCCCGGGGCUCAACCUGGGAAUUGCAGUGGAUACUGGCAAGCUAGAGUGCGGUAGAGGAUGGUGGAAUUCCCGGUGUAGCGGUGAAAUGCGCAGAUAUCGGGAGGAACACCCGUGGCGAAGGCGGCCAUCUGGACCAGAACUGACGCUGAGGCACGAAAGCGUGGGGAGCAAACAGG
rnacentral:rRNA from 1 species